ensembl:lncRNA novel transcript
CAGGCCACAAGCAGGGGCCUGAGUGGCUGGAAACCACCCCGAGACCUGGCAUUCCUGAGCUGCUCCGUUCUGCCAGGAAACUGCCCAGCUGGAUAGAGACAGACAGGGAGUUGCUCUUCUGGUCCUCAGAGGAAAGGAAGUACAGUGAUGUCAGCAAUGACCACCACUGACAUCUCUACCUGGUCAAAUAGCCAAACUGUCCCAAAGGAGAGCCUUGUUGCAGAAAUUGAACAGUGAGAGAAUAAGUGGCCCAGAGUUUCACAGAAGCCAGAGUACAAAGACAACUGGAGAAUACACACGUAGAAUAAAUAAGCUGAGAAUAAUGGAAAGUUGGAUGAGAGAAUUGACAUUCCACAAAGGUUUUACUUCUCCAAAAAGUUGUUCAGAUCAUCUUGGGUCAUCUGGAUUUUGGCCAUUUCGUCACAGGAAAGGUCUUCAGACUCAGACUGAAUUACACCACCACCUUUCCUGAUUCUCCAGCCUGCAGACGGCAGAUGAUGGAACUUCUCAGUCUACAUAAGCAUAUGAGCCAAUUACCAUAAUAAAUAUACUCAUAGAUAGAUAGAUUGAGGGAGAGAGAGAGAGAGAAAGAGAGAGAGAAAUUAUCCUAUUGAUUCUGUUUCUCUGUAAGACCCUAACUAAAGUACUUAGGAUUAGCAUAAUUUCUCUCAUUGAAAUCACCACAUCUCCCUUAAGUUCCAGCCAGUUUCACCUUGGCUGGAUGUGUUGAGGGUAAGAUAUGGGAGCUCAUGUCACUUGUAAACUGUGCUCCAAGUGAUGACUCUGCUUUUUGCAACUGACCAAUUUCACAACAAACAAAUAAACAAGAAAACAC